UAGGCUGACAGUAAGCUUCCUGAUGCUCAGGCAGCACAUGAGAAGACUAUCACUGGGCUACUGCCAGCCUUAGCGGGAGCCAAUCUUAUAUACGGCCUGG
rfam:Syntrophaceticus schinkii strain Sp3 genome assembly, contig: SSCH_Contig_32